AACGAACGCUGGCGGCAUGCCUAACACAUGCAAGUCGAGCGAGGCCUUCGGGUCUAGUUACGCACGGGUGCGUCACGGAACGGAACCUUCCUGUAGGUUCGGACUGACUUAGAGAAAUUUGCGCUAAUAGCGGAUGAUGUCUACGGACCAAAGAUGUAUGGGCUAUUAAUGUGCCCGAGUUGAAUAUGCUAGUUGGUGGAGUAAAGGCCUACCCAGGCUAUGUUACAUAGUUGGUCAGAGAGGAUGAUCCGCCACACUGGGACUGAGACACGGCCCAGACUCUUACGGGAGGCAGCAGUGGGGAAUAUUGGACAAUGGGCGAAAGCAUGAUGCAGCAAUGCCGCGUGAGUGAUGAAGUCCUUAGGGUUGUAAAGCUCUUUUACCCGAGAUGAUAAUGACAGUAACGGGAGAAUAAGCGCCGGCUAACUCCGUG
rnacentral:rRNA from 1 species